rnacentral:rRNA from 1 species
AGUGAACGCUGGCGGUAGGCCUAACACAUGCAAGUCGAACGGCAGCACAGUAAGAGCUUGUUCUUACGGGUGGCGAGUGGCGGACGGGUGAGGAAUACAUCGGAAUCUACUUUUUCGUGGGGGAUAACGUAGGGAAACUUACGCUAAUACCGCAUACGACCUACGGGUGAAAGCAGGGGAUCUUCGGACCUUGCGCGAUUGAAUGAGCCGAUGUCGGAUUAGCUAGUUGGCGGGGUAAAGGCCCACCAAGGCGACGAUCCGUAGCUGGUCUGAGAGGAUGAUCAGCCACACUGGAACUGAGACACGGUCCAGACUCCUACGGGAGGCAGCAGUGGGGAAUAUUGGACAAUGAGCGCAAGCCUGAUCCAGCCAUACCGCGUGGGUGAAGAAGGCCUUCGGGUUGUAAAGCCCUUUUGUUGGGAAAGAAAAGCAGCAGGUUAAUACCCCGCUGUUCUGACGGUACCCAAAGAAUAAGCACCGGCUAACUUCGUG